AACGAACGCUGGCGGCAUGCCUAACACAUGCAAGUCGAACGAGACCUUCGGGUCUAGUGGCGCACGGGUGCGUAACGCGUGGGAACCUGCCCUUAGGUUCGGAAUAACUCCCCGAAAGGGGUGCUAAUACCGGAUAAUGUCUUCGGACCAAAGAUUUAUCGCCUUUGGAUGGGCCCGCGUUGGAUUAGCUAGUUGGUAGGGUAAAAGCCUACCAAGGCGACGAUCCAUAGCUGGUCUGAGAGGAUGAUCAGCCACACUGGGACUGAGACACGGCCCAGACUCCUACGGGAGGCAGCAGUGGGGAAUAUAGGACGAUGGGCGAAAGCCUGAUCCAGCAAUGCCGCGUGAGUGAUGAAGGCCUUAGGGUUGUAAAGCUCUUUUACCCGGGAUGAUAAUGACAGUACCGGGAGAAUAAGCUCCGGCUAACUCCGU
rnacentral:rRNA from 1 species